rnacentral:rRNA from 1 species
AACGACUCUCGACAACGGAUAUCUCGGCUCUCGCAUCGAUGAAGAACGUAGCGAAAUGCGAUACUUGGUGUGAAUUGCAGAAUCCCGUGAACCAUCGAGUCUUUGAACGCAAGUUGCGCCCGAAGCCACUAGGCUGAGGGCACGCCUUCCUGGGUGUCACCC